rnacentral:lncRNA from 1 species
UGCACAAUUACGUAUACGUAAAUUAAAAGAUAAACUUCAAAUAUUACCUCAAAUUUCGCACUUUUUUAUUUUAAUAUUAUGUGGUUUAAAGUGUAUUAAUUUAGUAUUCUGUGAUUUUUUUUUUCGCCUGUCUUUUUGUUAAUUUUUCGUUAAAUUAUAUACAAAAUACUUCAGAUACCUCGCCUAUAUUUUAUCGAAUAUUCACUUUAGUACUCUUUAGUUUUAACUUUGUCACUCAUUUAACGGAAAAAAAAAUAAUAAAGGGGAUAACAAAAAGAGAGAAAUAAAACCACAGAGUAUGAAAGUGAUAUACUUUAAAUCAUAGGGUACUAAAGUGAGAAAGUGCAAAACCAUAGGGGUGGUAUUUGAAAUUUUAUCUAAAUUAAAAGAUUCAGAUCGAUGAAGAUGAAUACUGUGA